UACAUCUCAUAGGGGUGUCCCGAUUAAUUUUGGGGCUGAGAUUAUACCCAAUGAACCUGGGCAGGUAAUGCUGCCAAGGGAUAAUUGACAUCAAAUUUU
rnacentral:ncRNA from 1 species